AUGUAUUUACCAAAUGCCUAAUCCCGCAAAAAAUGUAGAUGCAAACAAGCAAUUUGAAGUAGAAUUUAGCCAAUUUUAUUGGUAACUUUGAUAAAGAUCAAAUAUCACAAAACAUCAACAUACAUAACUUGAAUAUCAAACAUGAAGAGGGAGAAAUGACAGCGCCAAGUGACUCACGCACAACACAACCAACACAACGAGACAGAAGCAGACUCCAAACAAAUCGAACUUGACCAAAGAGGGGUAGCUAGCUAGCUCAUGCGCUGUCUCGGACUGCAAGGAAAGAAACAAUGAAAGCAAGGAGUCCAGUGAGCAGCGCUGAUGAAGUGAUGGUACGGCCAGCAUCAUUGGGGGUGGGGGCGGGGCUGGGGCUGGGGCUCAUGUUCAUCCCGGGCAUGCCCUCGUUGGCAGCAGCAACCACCACUAAAAUGGCAAAACAUGCGAUCAAGGUUGCAGCUUUGUUCCAAGAAGCCAUAUUUCCAAUACGUUCAAUGGGUGAAUGCCGGUGGCUUUCAAUUACUUGUCUCAGACUCCCAGUUAUCAUGC
rnacentral:lncRNA from 1 species